CCUACGGGCGGCUGCAGUGGGGAAUAUUGCACAGUGGGCGCAAGCCUGAUGCAGCCAUGCCGCGUGUGUGAAGAAGGCCUUCGGGUUGUAAAGCACUUUCAGCGGGGAGGAAGGCGGUGAGGUUAAUAACCUCAUCGAUUGACGUUACCCGCAGAAGAAGCACCGGCUAACUCCGUGCCAGCAGCCGCGGUAAUACGGAGGGUGCAAGCGUUAAUCGGAAUUACUGGGCGUAAAGCGCACGCAGGCGGUCUGUCAAGUCGGAUGUGAAAUCCCCGGGCUCAACCUGGGAACUGCAUUCGAAACUGGCAGGCUAGAGUUUUGUAGAGGGGGGUAGAAUUCCAGGUGUAGCGGUGAAAUGCGUAGAGAUCUGGAGGAAUACCGGUGGCGAAGGCGGCCCCCUGGACAAAGACUGACGCUCAGGUGCGAAAGCGUGGGGAGCAAACAGGAUUAGAUACCCGGGUAGUC
rnacentral:rRNA from 1 species